UGUUACUCUUGGGUGUUUGAGCACCCUAGAUGGAAGAGGUCACCUCGGAGCAACAUUCCAUUGUGGUGAAGCUCCGUGGUUUUGUUGGGACUUGGGAGCCUCCAAUUAAGUUGUGGAGAGAGCCCCAACCUUGUUGUAAAGGUCCGGCUGCCACCUUCAAGGGCAUCACUUAGUGGAUUCACGGCACCUCUCAUUGUUUGAGGGCGUGAGGAGAAUACGGUGGCCUUAGUGGCAUCUUGGAGAGCAUUGUGCCUUCACACCCCUCCAACGGAGACGUACUUCCCUUUAAAGGGAAAAACUUCGGGAACACAUCCUCGUCGUCAUCGGUUCCACUUGUGGUUAUUUCUUACCUUUACUUGUAUUUACUCUUUGCUUAUUAUUGUUGUUGUUAGCAUCAUAUAGGUUGCUCACCUAGUUGCAUAUCUAGACAACCUAUUUGGUGCUAAACCUAAAUUGUUUAAAGAAAAGCUUACAAUUUGUUAGUUGCCUAUUCAACMCCCCCCCCCCCCUCUCCUCUAGUCAACCAUAUCGACCCUUUAAGACAAAACUGCCAACAAGAUGACGAUAACGCGUCGGAUCAGGCAGGGGGUCACCAUCAGUAUCUCGGAGGUGAACAUUGAACUCCAUGGGGAGUCUCAACAAUGCGAUCGUCAGUAAGAGCAGCACGAGCAAGAAGAACCUGGUUAUACUUUUCCUUGGGAUAUAAAGAAGCCAUCAGAGGUAGAAGNNNNNNNNNNNNNNNNNNNNNNNNNNNNNNNNNNNNNNNNNNNNNNNNNNNNNNNNNNNNNNNNNNNNNNNNNNNNNNNNNNNNNNNNNNNNNNNNNNNNGUGGUUGCGGGCGUACGGUUGUCUCCCACAGCGCUUAAUGCUAGGUGCUGGUCAGGGCAACUCCCCCUAAUCAGGCGAGGAGCCCAGAGGACGCCAUGGCUGGCGCCUUGGAGCUCCUCUGUUCGUUAGCUUGAUCUGGCCGACCGCCCCAGUCGCCGGCCCUGUGCUCCGUAUCAGGCCAGUAGUCUCACCUCUGACCCAAUUCCGGACCACCCAGCCUUCGCCACCUUAACGCCAUGCCCAGAGGUCCAACCGAUCCUGCACCACUCAAUUCUACGGCUUCUUCCUUUGCUCGCGGCUCGCGUUGACUGAGAGAGGACACAGGCCUCGUCGAGCCGCAUUCUCUCAUUGCCUUGCUCCUCCACCACCACUCCUUUCUCUUCUUCCUUCCCCCCUCAUGCUCGUGGGUGAUUGUAGACGAACAACUGCCAGCAACUUGUCCUUCAGCCCCAACAGAAAUUGGAUGAUGAAAAAACUUUUGGCUCAAUGACAGAUCGAGAGCGAAGAGGUGGUACAUAUGAUUUUCAAACACCUGCCUGUACUUUGUCACGAUGCCGUGUUGGCACAACUGCAGUAACUAGUGCAUCUCGAGCUCGAAUUCAUCGACACCWAAUUCCUCUGUGAUUGCCACGCAGAAGGCCUCCCAUGUCAAUCCUUGGUGGACCUGACGAAACGCCUGAAGCCAAUGUGUUGCUUGCCCCUCGAUGUAAAAGGUAGUCGUGGACACCCAACUGUGAGCAGGCACUUUGUAGUUCUGUCGAUCUCGCUGGAAUCUCGUUAUUCUGCCAACCUCAUCGGAAUCAAGUCUGCCAAUGCCUCAGCAAGAUCUGUCCGUUCCAGGUGCUCGAGCAGUACUAAUUUAUAUUUCAUUGUUGCUAAUUUAACAUCUGUUUUGGUCGUGCCGAUCGAUGNNNNNNNNNNNNNNNNNNNNNNNNNNNNNNNNNNNNNNNNNNNNNNNNNNNNNNNNNNNNNNNNNNNNNNNNNNNNNNNNNNNNNNNNNNNNNNNNNNNNUUAUACUAUUANAUAUAUAUAUAUAUAUAUAUAAUAUANAUAUAUAUAUAUAUAUAUAUAUAUAGGACAAAUACAUCCUACCAUCCAGGGGUAGUUACCCCACAUGUUCCAUAUACUAUCAUGCAGUAGUAUAUAUAUUAAUUUAUCAUUUUUAUUAUGUUUAUAUAUUAUAUAUAAGAUUUUUCAAAAUGAGUUACAUGAAAAAAUUACAAGUUAGCCCAUAGUUUUUAUUAUAUUUAUGAAAUACAUAUGUUUUUGUACGUAAAAAGAAACAUACACAAAAUAUGAUACAUAGUACCCAAAAAAUAAUAUAUAUAGUACCUAAAUAUUAUUAUAUACUACAUACUACACGUACAUACUCUUCGAUUUGAUAAAUACUACAUACAACAUACAAAAUGCAAGUGGUGGUAACUACCACCGGUGGUAUAUAAAAAUUUUGUCCCUAUAUAUAUAUAUAUAUAUAUAAGAACUACUAUUCAUACCACCGAGGUGUAGAAUAAAUUACUUCUACCACCGUAGGUUNNNNNNNNNNNNNNNNNNNNNNNNNNNNNNNNNNNNNNNNNNNNNNNNNNNNNNNNNNNNNNNNNNNNNNNNNNNNNNNNNNNNNNNNNNNNNNNNNNNNAUUGCCCUGACACCACCAUAGAAGAAGAGCGGUGACACCGUUCACUAUGCAACCCGUGAGCACACUGUUGGUGACCCCUUUGACCUUUUUUGAACCGAUUGCAACCACACCGAUGUCGAGCCCGAAAAAUCAGGGUGGCCAUCGGGACCCAAAACCUCUCCUGAAUCGCGAAUGUGUGGAAGUACUGUUCGCAUAAAGUUUUCCAGAGGCGAUGAUUCUCGCCCGAGAAUUGGCGGAAAACGAUCGACGGGUGGGUUUGGCCGAUUCCUGCAAGGAUUUGAUUGGCAUGGGCAAACGGCAAGGACAAGGAGGAUGGAAAUUGGGGGUUGAACUGACCAUUGGCUGGGCUGGCCACUGACGCGAACACCGGUGCCAAUCCCCGUGGCAGAACGUCGAGGCCGUGGUCCGAAGACCCGAGGGCGUCGCCCCCCGCCGUCCUUCGUCGUCGUUGGGUCCGACCGGUGGUUCGACCACCGGGCCGGGACCGGACCGUCGGUUGGGGUAGGUAAGGGUUAGGUUGGGUUGGGUCGGCCGGGCCGGGGCCGACCUUACGGGUUUGGUCCCGACCCGAGUCNNNNNNNNNNNNNNNNNNNNNNNNNNNNNNNNNNNNNNNNNNNNNNNNNNNNNNNNNNNNNNNNNNNNNNNNNNNNNNNNNNNNNNNNNNNNNNNNNNNNUCUGAGCCACCAACCCUUAGGGGGCAUCUUCUUGGGAAGUUGUUCCUGUUUGGAAAGCUUGGUCUUGUCUUGCGAAUGAGCUUGCCACCAUUGUCUUCCUCUGCCUCAUAGGGACAAUCUACCACAAAGUGACUCACAUUGGCCACAAUUGUAGCAAGUUCUCAUCAUNNUUCUNCNUNNUNUCUGNAUGCUNNUCUNUCNCCAAUGCCUUGAUGCAAGAGCCAUAUGCUUAUGGUAAGCAUACUUGGUGUCUUCAGGACAAGAUUCUUCUUCGUCUUCCUCAUCUUCCUCCUAAAGCAGCCUUGGCCUUCAAAUCAAGGUUGGGAGAGUCCUUUGUUGACCGUUGAACUCGGGUUAGAGCAUUGUCCGCGGUUUUGUUCAAAAUAUUCAUGGCAGCGAACUCAUACAACACAUGACUUGAGGACAAGGAAUGAAAGUCUGGCCUUUUGUUGUGUCCUUUGCCGGGGCCUCAGAUCCCCGGCAAGCAGGAGGUUUCACUUUCCCGGCAAGGUCCUUGCCAAUAGUCCUUGACUAUCGUAUAGAAGGGGGUUNCCGGAGUAAAACUCAUUUUCCUCUUUUGCCAGGCCGUGCUGGUGAAGCCCCCGGGNGCAUCUUCGACGGCGACGCAACGCUUCUAGGGGGAAUCGUUCCGCUGGAGUGCGUGCCUGUUGGCGCAUCCUCGACGGCUAUGCAUUNNNNNNNNNNNNNNNNNNNNNNNNNNNNNNNNNNNNNNNNNNNNNNNNNNNNNNNNNNNNNNNNNNNNNNNNNNNNNNNNNNNNNNNNNNNNNNNNNNNNCAACCAAAAGCCUAAGGCGUUGGGAUCGCCCGUGGGAAGCACUCCCUUCUUUCGUCUUACAACUCCAGUUACCGGGUUAAACGUUUACGUUGGGAGCUAUUUAUUUUUAUUCCACCACAUGAUAUGUUGUUUUGUCGUUGGAGCGUCGUGUAUUAGUAGGAGUUUCUUUUUUCUUUUUUUUGUGUCACAAUCAUCCUUCCUGCACUACCUUUUUGAGAGGGACAUGCACUCAUCGUGAAUUCUCUAGAAUACUCAUUGAGCUUCACUUGAAUCUUUUUGAGUUAGGAAAUUUAGCUCACAUGUGCUUCACUUAUAUCUUUUGAGCUAGAUAAUUUUUAUCUAGUGCUUCACUUAAAUCUUUGUAGAGCACGGCGGUGUCAUAUUUUGUAGAAAUAAAAAUGCAUCAUAUCCCUGUUCAUGAUGAUGUCUUGUUUACUGCACAUAUUGUUUGCAAGAGGGAGUCUUGAACAUGGAAGCACUUCAUUCACACAUGUUUGAUGCAUAUAGCCAAGNUCUAUAUGACUUGUCUUGUCCUUCUACCAUGUGUGUGCCCAUGCAUUCCNNNNNNNNNNNNNNNNNNNNNNNNNNNNNNNNNNNNNNNNNNNNNNNNNNNNNNNNNNNNNNNNNNNNNNNNNNNNNNNNNNNNNNNNNNNNNNNNNNNNGUAUACUAUUCCCUUUGUCCUUCGGUAUGUUACUUGCCCGAGAUUCGAUCUCGGGUAUCACCACACCUUAAGUUCCAAUCUCGUUACCGGCAAAUAUCUUUACUCGUUCNGUAAUACAAGAUCUCGUGACUAACACUUUUAGACACAUUUCUUGCAAGGCUUGUUGUGAUGUUGUAUUACCGAGUGGGCCCCGAGAUACCUCUCCGUCACACGGAGUGACAAAUCCUAGUCUUGAUCCAUGCCAAACCCAACAGGACACCUUCGGAGAUACGUGUAGAGCACCUUUAUAGUCACUCAGUUACGUUGCGACGUUUUACGACCCACAAAGUAUUCCUCCGGGUGUCCGGGGAGUUGCAAGAUCUCAUGGUCAUAGGAACAGAUACAUUGACAUUAAAGAAAAACAAGUAACAAUAAACUGACACGAAUCAUAUGCUACGUUUAUAGUUUGGGUCUUGUCCAUCACAUCAUUCUCCCAAUGUAACAAUAAACUCACACGAUCAUAUGCUAUGUUUAUAGUUUGGGUCUUGUCCAUCACAUCAUUCNCCCAAUGAUGUGAUCCCGUUAUCAAGUGANNNNNNNNNNNNNNNNNNNNNNNNNNNNNNNNNNNNNNNNNNNNNNNNNNNNNNNNNNNNNNNNNNNNNNNNNNNNNNNNNNNNNNNNNNNNNNNNNNNNUCGUCCUCGAGUAGGGAAGUGAUAAAGACUGAAUUUUUGAUGUGGAAUGCUACCUAACAUAUUUGUCCUUUGUAACUUCUUUCUUGUGGCAUGAAUGUUCAGAUCCGUAAGAUUCAAACAAUAGUUUACUAUUGACAUGAAAAUAAUAAUACUUCAAGCAAACUAGCAAAGUGAUCAUGAACUUUUGAAAUAACAAGGCCAAAGAAAGUUAUCCCUACAAAAUCAUAUAGUCUGGCUAUGCUCCAUCAUUCCCACACAACGAAUUUAAAUCAUGCACAACCCCGGUAUUGGCCAAGUAAUUGUUUUCGCACUCUUACUUUCUCAAACUUUUUCAACUCUCACGCAAUACAUGAGCGUGAGCCAUGGAUAUAGCACUAUAGGUGGAAUAGAGUGUGGUGGAGGUUGUGAGGCAAAAAGGAGGAGAUGGUCACAUUGACUUGGCGUAUUAAUGGGCUAUGGAGAUGCCCAUCAAUAGAUAUCAAUGUGAAUGAGUAGGGAUUACCAUGCAACGGAUGCACUUAGAGCUAUAAGUGUGUGAAAGCUCAAAAGGAGAACUAGUGGGUGUGCACCCAACUUGCUUGCUCACGAAGAUCUAGGGCAAUUUUGAGGAAGCCCAUUAUUGGAAUAUACAAGCCAAAUUAUAUAAUGAAAAUUACCACUAGUAUAUGGAAGUGUCAAACCAAGCGGCUCUCUAUCAUGAAGAACAUGGUGCUAUUUUGAAGCACAAGUGUGGACAAAGAUAGUAGCAUUGUCCCUUUUCUCCUUUCCUCUCUUUUUUUGUUGUUGUUUGGGCUCUUUAGCCUCUUUUCACUUUUUUUGUGGGCAUCUUUGGCCUCUUUUUUUUUAUUUCCUCACAUGGUACAAUGCUCUAAUAAUGAUGAUCAUCACACUUUUAUUUACUCACAACUCAAUACUUAGAGCAAUUAUGACUCUAUAGGAAAUGCCUCCGGCAGUGUACCGGGAUGUGCGACGAUCUAGUUUAGCAUAUGACGUUGAAACAUCUCGCUAGAUAUCUUAUGAUCAUGCAAAGGCAAUAUGAAAGUGACGGCACAAGUCAUGAGACGGAACGGUGGGAGUUGCAUGGCAAUAUAUCUCGGAAUGGCUAUGAAAAUGCCAUAAUAGGUAGGUAUGGUGGCUGUUUUGAGGAAGGUAUAUGGUGGGUUUAUGCACCGGCAAAAGUUGCGCGGCACUAGAGAGGCUAGAAAUGGUGGAAGGUGAAAGUGUAUCUAUACCAUGGACUCACAUUAGUCAUGAAUAACUCAUAUACUUAUUGCAGAAGUUUUAUUAGUAAUCGAAACAAAGUGCUAAACGCAUACUCCUAGGGGAAGGGUUGUUAGCUAUUAACCAUCUCGCGAUCCCGACCGCCACACAAAGGAUGACAAUCAAUAAAUCAAUUAUGCUCCGACUUCCUAACAUAGCGGUUCACCAUACCUGCAUGCUACGGGAAUCACUAACUUCAACACAAUUAUUUCUAGAUUCACAACACCCUACUAACAUAACUCUAAUAUCACCAAAUCUAUGUCUCAAAACAUAAUUGUUAGGAAUCAAACUUCUCUUACUAAUCAAUGUACUUGAAUAUGAAAGUUUUUAUUAUAUCCUCUUUGGAUGCCUAUCAUCUUUAGGACUACUUUCAUAGCACACGCCAAUUACCAAGUUACUGAGAGAGAGCACUCUCAAAAAGAUAUAAGUGAAGAUCGAGAGGUUUUAUUUCUACAAAAUAUGACACCGCCGUGCUCUACAAAGAUUUAAGUGAAGCACUAGAUAAAAAUUAUCUAGCUCAAAAGAUAUAAGUGAAGCACAUGUGAGCUAAAUUUCCUAACUCAAAAGAUUCAAGUGAAGCUCAAUGAGUAUUCUAGAGAAUUCACGAUGAGUGCAUGUCCCUCUCAAAAAGGUGUGCAGGAAGGAUGAUUGUGACACAAAAAAAAAGAAAAGACUCCUAUAAUACACGACGCUCCAAGCAAAACACAUAUCAUGUGGUGAAUAAAAAUAUAGCUCCAAGUAACGUUACCGAUGGAUUGAAGACGAAAGAGGGGAUGCCUUCCCAGGGCAUCCCCAAGCUUAGGCUUUUUGGUGUCCUUGAAUUUGGAUUUGGAUGACUUGGGCAUCCCCAAGCUUAAACUCUUUCCACUCUUUAUCCCAUUGUCCAUGAGAACAUCACCCAAAACUUGAAAACUUCACAACACAAAACUUAAACAGAAACUUGUGAUAUCAUUAGCAUAAGAAAACAAACUACCAACUCUUUAGGUACUGUAGUAAACUUGAUUUCUAUUUAGAUUGAUGUUAGAUUACUGUAUUAUCACUUUUCCAUGGCUAGUACCCCCGAUGCUAUCCAUAUUUUAAUCAAAAUAAGCAAUCAACACAACAAAAACAGAAUCUGUCAAAAACAGACCAGUCUGUAGCAAGUUGUAUACUUCGUAUACUUCUGGUAACCCAAAAAUUCUGUAACAUUAUGAAAAUUAGGGAAAUUGGCAUAUCAACCAACAGCAAAAAGAAUCAACUCAAAAGCUAUUUAUGGAUAGGAAUUAAAAAUAAUUUCGUGAGCACAAAGUUUCUGUCUUUUUCAGCAAGAUCAAACAACCAUCACCAAAACUAGUCAUAAAGGUUUUAAUUGGCACAACCACAAAAAUAAACACAAAAAACACAAUCAUAAAAGAAUUAUGAUGGUGUGGACACAACAAAACAGAAAGCAAAAGGCAAAGAUAAAUUCAUUGGGUUGCCUCCCAACAAGGGCUAUUGUUUAACGCCCUUAGCUAGGCAAAAGGCGAUAGAAUCAAGUAUCGUCGUCUUUGGUGCUCAAACCAUAAGUAGCCCUCAUCAUGGAUUCAUAAGGCAAUCUUACUUUAUUUCUAGGAAAGUGUUCCAUGCACUUCUUUAAUGUAAAUUGAAAUCUAAUAUUCCCUUCCUUCAUAUCGAUGACAACACCAAUAGUCCUAAGGAAAGGUCUACCAAGAAUGAUGGGACAUGUUGGAUUGCAAUCAAUAUCAAGCACAAUGAAAUAUACGGGUACAUAGUUCCUAUUUGCAAUAAUAAGAACAUCAUUGAUCCUUCCCAUAGGUUUCUUAACAGUAGAAUCCGCAAGAUGCAAAUUAAGAGAGCACUCAUCAAUCUCAUUGAAGCCUAGAACAUCACAUAAAGACUUUGGAAUAGCGGAAACACUACCACCCAAAUCACAUAAAGCAUUGCAUUCAUAGUUUUUAAUCUUGAUUUUAAUAGUAGGUUCCCACUCAUCAUGAAGUUUUCUAGGAAUAGAUAUCUCCAACUCUAGUUUCUCUUCAAGAGAUUUCAUCAUAGCAUCAACGAUAUGAUCGGUAAAGGCCUUAUUUUGGCUAUAAGCGUGUGGAGAGUUUAGCAUGGAUUGCAUCAAGGAAAUACAUUCAAUCAAAGAGCAACUAUCAUAAUUGAAUUCCUUGAAAUCCAAAGUAGUAAUUUCAUUACUACUCAAAGUUUUGAUAUCCUCUACUCCACUUUCAGUGCUUUUAGCAUCAAGACAAAUAGACUCAGAAUAAUUGGGGCGUUUCUCAACCAAAGUGGAUUCAUAUCCAGCCCCAUCAUCAUUAGGAUUGACAUUAGAAAACAAGGAUUCAAUAGGAGUCACACCAAGCACUUUAAGAUCUUCGUGAUUCUCAUCACAUAUUUCAGGUUUAGCAGCCAUUUUAUUGACUAAGGUAGCUUGUUUAUCAGAAAUCUGGCCUACCAAUUUUUCAAGACGAGCAAACUGAGAAUUUAACGCAAGAAAUUCUUUGGCCAUAUCAUUAACUCCUUUAUUCAUAAAAGCCAAAAAAGAAUUUUUCUCCCUUAUUUCUCUAUGAAAGUAACUAUUAUAAUCAAACUGUGUAGACAUGAAGCCAUUAACACUAGUUUCAAUCUCUUCCAACCUUUUAUAGUAAGCAUCAUAAUCCUUUGGUUGAGCCAUACAUGUCUUAGCACGCAGACAAGCGCACAAGCGAACAUAAAGCAAGAGAAAGAAAGGGCGAACGAAAAAGGCAAAUAUUUUUGUAAUUUGUUUUUUCAGAAGUGGGGGAGAGGAAAACGAGAGGCAAAAGGCAAAAAAGUAAAUGCAAGAGAUGAGUUUGCGAUAGUUACUUGGAUAAGCUACACUUAGAAUAGUCCCCGGCGCCAGAAAUUGGCACGUUGAAGGGAGACUAUUCUUAACUUGAUACUCCCCGACAAUAGCGCCAUAAAUUCUUCUUGCUACCUCUUGAGCUUGCGUUGGUUUUUCCCUUGAAGAGGAAAGGGUGAUGCAGCACAGUAGCAGUAAGUAUUUCCCUCAGUUUGAGAACCAAGGUAUCAAUCCAGUAGGAGUAUCAAGACACGUCACCAAUGUACCUGCGCAAAAACAAACAUACUUGCACCCAACGCUAUAAAGGGGUUGUCAAUCCAUUCACGAUUAUUUGCAAGGUGAGAUCUGAAGGUGGAAAGUGCAAAAAAGUAAAAGUGUAGAGCUGAAAAUAUGAUGUGAAGUAGACCAGGGGGCCAUAGUGUUCACUAGAGGCUUCUCUCAUGUUAGCAAGUAUUAUGGUGGGUGAACGAAUUACUGUCGAGCAAUUGAUAGAAUCGCGCAAAGUCAUGAUGAUAUCUAAGGCAAUGAUCAUACAUAUAGGCAUCACGUCCGAGGCAAGUAGACCGAUACUUUCUGCAUCUACUACUAUUACUCCACACAUUGAGCGCUAUCCAUCAUGCAUCUAGUGUAUUUAGUUCAUAACAAACGGAGUAACACCUUAAGCAAGAUGACAUGAUGUAGAGGGAUAAAUUCAUGCAAUAUGAUAUAAACCCCAUCUUUUUAGCCUUGAUGGCAACAACACGAUGCGUGCCUCACUACCCCUUCUGUCACUAGGUGAGGACACCGCACAGUAUGAACCCAAAACCAAUCAUUUCUCCCAUUGCAAGUGUUAUAUAUCAAGUUGGCCAAACGAAACCCACAGCUCGAAGAGAAUUGCAAGGAUACGAAAUCAUGCAUAUAAGAGAUCAGAGGAGACUCAACCAACAUUCAUAGAUAAUCUGAUCAUAAAUCGACAAUUCAUCGGAUCUCAACAAAUACACCGCAAAAGAAAGUUACAUCGGAUAGAUCUCCAUGAAGAUCAUGGAGAACUUUGUAUUGAAGAUCCAAGAGAGAGAAGANNNNNNNNNNCCAUCUAGCUACUAGUUAUGGAUCCGAAGGUCUGUGGUGAACUACUCACGCAUCAUCGGAGAGGCAAUGGUGUUGAUGAAGAAGCCCUCCAUGUCCGAAUCCCCCCGACAGGGCACCAGAACGUGCCCCAGAUGGGAUCUUGCGAAGACAGAAGCUUGCGGUGGCGGAAAAGUAUUUUCGUGGCUCUCUCUGGUGUUUUUAGAUUUUUGGAGAAUUUAUAGGUGGAGGUAGGGCAAAGGAGCCACGGGGGGCCCACAAGCCUGCUAGGCCCGGCCCCCCUAGGCCGGGGCUAGUGGGCUUGUGACCUCCUCCGAGGUUUGGUUCUCAAGUCUCCUGCGUAUCUUCUGUUAUGGAAAAAAUCAUUCCGCAAGUUUUAUUCCAUGUGGACUCUGUUUAAUAUUCUCCUCUGAAAAAGGUCAAAAACACAAAAAAACAGAAACUAGCACUUGGCACUGAGUUAAUAGGUUAGUCCCAAAAAAGAUAUAAAAUAGCAUAUUCAUGCAUACAAAACAUCCAAAGUUGACAUGAUAAUAGCAUGGAACCAUAAAAAAUUAUAGAUACGUUGGAGACGUAUCAAGCAUCCCCAAGCUUAACUCCUGCUCGUCCUCGAGUAGGGAAGUGAUAAAGACUGAAUUUUUGAUGUGGAAUNNNNNNNNNNCGGAAGAAGUAGGACAGAGGAGCCACGAGGGGCCCACAAGCCUACUAGGCCCGCCCCCCUAGGCCGGGGCUAGUGGGCUUGUGACUUCCUCCGAGGUCCCCUGCCUUGGUUCUCAAGUCUGCUGGGUAUCUUCUGUUAUGGAAAAAAUCAUUCCAUAGGUUUUAUUCUGUUUGGACUCCGUUUAAUAUUCUCCUCUGAAAAAGGUCAAAAACACGGAAAGAACAGACACUAGCACUUGGCACUAAGUUAAUAGGUUAGUCCCAAAAAAGAUAUAAAAUAGAAUAUUCAUGCANNNNNNNNNNNNNNNNNNNNNNNNNNNNNNNNNNNNNNNNNNNNNNNNNNNNNNNNNNNNNNNNNNNNNNNNNNNNNNNNNNNNNNNNNNNNNNNNNNNNGCAAUUUACAUAUCUUAUGAUGGAUUGAUCAAGAAACCAUAAAUUAACUAUGACAAUAUAUAUAUAUAUAUAGGACAAAUACAUCCUACCAUCCAGGGGUAGUUACCCCACAUGUUCCAUAUACUAUCAUGCAGUAGUAUAUAUAUUAAUUUAUCAUUUUUAUUAUGUUUAUAUAUUAUAUAUAAGAUUUUUCAAAAUGAGUUACAUGAAAAAAUUACAAGUUAGCCCAUAGUUUUUAUUAUAUUUAUGAAAUACAUAUGUUUUUGUACGUAAAAAGAAACAUACACAAAAUAUGAUACAUAGUACCCAAAAAAUAAUAUAUAUAGUACCUAAAUAUUAUUAUAUACUACAUACUACACGUACAUACUCUUCGAUUUGAUAAAUACUACAUACAACAUACAAAAUGCAAGUGGUGGUAACUACCACCGGUGGUAUAUAAAAUUUGUCCUAUAUAUAUAUAUAUAUAUAGAAACUCUAUUCAUCACCCAGGGUGUAGAAUAAAUUAUUCCUCACCCGAGGUAAUUUUACGAUCAUUUCAUAAACAAAUUACAUUUGAAAUGCAAAUAGUUACAUUUAUAUUGAUUCACUACGUAAAAUUUCACGGAAGAAAACAAAAAUAUAGGUCAUAAGACCAGAAAAAUUGCAUUUUAUGUAUAAUUUUCACUGUGUUUUUAUGUUUGUAAUUUUAUGUGAUAUUUUUUUUACGGUGACUAUGUAUUUUCUUACGGUCUAUUUUUACGUAUGAGAUAAGAUUGAAAUUUACGAAACGUAAAAUUACGGUGUAUUGAUCUCUAGCUAUCCAAUGGAACCUAGAGAGAUCACUAGCUAUAUGCAAUUUUCAUANNNNNNNNNNUAUGACAUAUCAUAUUUCUAUCCAAUGGAACCUAGAGAGAUCACUAGCUAUAUGCAAUUUUCAUAACCUUGGAUCAAACAACAUCGCAUAAAAUUGUUUCACUACAACUAAAGAGAAAUUGAUCUUUAUAGGAUUCCAAAAUGGAACAUAUUGCUAUCGAUCCUAUGCAAUUUUUAUAUCCUAUGAAUUGAUCAAGAAACCCUCAAUUAACUAUCCAAUGGAACAUAUAUAGAAACUGCAUAUUGCUAUCCAAUGGAACCUAAAGAAAUCACUAUAUCUAUAUAUGCAAUUUUCAUAACCAUGGACCAAAGAAAGCCUCAAAACAUACCUCGCCCAUUGGAAGAUCAAGACAUGGAGUUUGAAACAUAGUUGGAUGACGGCAACACCUCGUUGAUUGGCCGUGUACUCCAGAUCAAGCCCCAAGAACUUCUCAUGAUCCACCGCGGCGUCAAGCCAUCCCUUCAUCUAUCUAAGAAACUGCAGCAUGUCCGUGGUGUUGUUCGUGUACACAACAUCGAGCUUGGUCUUGCCAUGUGCGAGCACCACUCCGUAGCGAGUUGGCAUGGUGGAAGAAAAGAAGAGAAGAAGCGAGGAGAGUAAGAGAGGAGAAGAAUAGAGAAAUGGCGACAAACUCUGCUUCGGUUGUGCUUUUCCGAAGCGGGAGGCAAACCGUUUGGGCCUUUAGUCCCGGGUUGAGCUACCAACCGAGACUAAAGGGUGAUACGAACGAUUUCCACCACCACUUUGUCCCGGUUUGAUAUACUAAUCGAGACUAAAGGGGGAUAUGAAUAGUCCACCUGGUCCCGAAUUGACCCACCAACCGGGACUAAAGGUGGAUACGAACGGUUCCGGCCUAUUGGUCCCGGUGCGUGUACGGAACCGGGAGCAAAGGGUUGACACGAACCGGGACCAAUGGCCCAUGAUGCCCGGCUGGCGCCCUGGCCUCAUGAACCGUGACCAAUGACACCAUAGGUCCCGGUUCAUGGGUGAACCGGGACUAAUGGGAUUGGAGGCCCUGGACCAAAUCCCUCUCUCCUACUAGUGAUUGGUUGUGAAAAGGAUAGUGAGAUACCUUAUACAUACACCCGACUUUGGCAUAUGGUAUCCUAAGGGAUCUUCUUUUAAUCUUGUUGGCUAUUCCAACUCGGACUAUGCUAGAGACAAGGUUGACAGAAAAUCCACCUCGGUUACAUGUCAAUUUCUUAGGAGAUCUCUUCUGUCUUGGACAUCCAAGAAACAAAACUCGGCAUCUUUAUCUACUACCGAAGCUGAAUACAUUGCCGCUAGAUCAUGUCCUGCCCAAUUACUUUGGAUGACUCAAACUCUUAAGGAUUAUGGCAUUCAUGUUAGAAAAGUUCAUCUUUUAUGUGACAAUGAAAGUGCUAUUAAGAUUGGCUAUAAUCCUGUGUAACAUUCUAGAACAAAACAUAUCCGAGUGUGACAUCAUUUCAUUCGUGAUCCUGUUGCUAAAGCAGAUAUCAAUCUGAAGCAUGUUCGUACUGACAAACAACUAGCUGAUAUCUUUACCAAACCACUUGAUGAGAAAGUGUUUUGUCAUUUGAGGAGCGAGUUGAACAUCUUUGAUGCUUCAAACUUGAGCUAGACUCAUUCGGAUGCAUGCAAGGGCAUGAGCUUGACUGACUAUUCCUUGAUGCCAUUGAUAUGACUAUUUUAUAUCUUUGAAACUAUGCUCCCUUGUAUUUUAUCUAACCUUUUGUAGGUACUUGCAAGAAAUACAAAUCACGAGAUUUCAAUCAACUGACAUCAAAAGCAAUCUUGAUAUGGCCAAGUAUCAACAACCCCUACUUCGAAGAUGGAGGAAGAAGACAACAAAAACAUAUCAUUGAUAAUCAUUUGAUGAAAUUAUUCACUCAUGUCAUUUGGAUAUAUUAUGGUCUUCCUUGCAUGACUAACCAUUGUAGGUGAAAAGUGAACCAAAACAACAUGGAUAGCUCCCAACUCAAGAUGAUCUCCAUCAACUUUGAGCAUCCACAACAAGUUCACCUACAUGCCAUGUCAUCAACAUCAUUCGAAGGUAUGUACUCAUAUUCUUGAUAAAGCUUUACAUCAACUCAUGAGAUAAAGCAACUCAAGUGAUAUGAAUACAUUGAAAUGCUUAAUCGAAAAAUGGUAACCCCAUUUUGUGCUUAACGAUGAGUAUGACCUAUGAUCAAGCAAUCUUGCUUGACUCCUCAAGUCAAAUACUCUAAUAUGGGUGAACUAGUCACCGCCCCACAUCUAGAUGGAGUUUCUUGUAUGGUUCACAUUUGUCAUUGCAAAUUCAUUGAAACCAUUCAACUCUCAUCUAUAUGUAUAUAUAUUUUCAAAAAAAUGUUUUCUCUUCUUUUCCUUCUUAGUUGGAAUCUUUUACAUUUGGUAUCUUAUUUUCUUUCAAUCUUUAGAUAUUUUCCUUCCUUUCCUUUCUAUGUUAUUUUCUGUUAAGGAGUUUAUUUUCUUUGCAACUAGGUUUCACCGAUCACGAAACUCGGUCCAACCGAUUUCUCCGUGAGGCACAAUUCUCAUUCUCGGUUCUGUCGAACUACUUUGCCUUGGUGACUCCGAUAUUUUCAUUGCCUUUAUCUUUCUUCUAUUUUCUAGCCAUUUGCCUUAGCGGGAGAAAUAUUAUCAAUGAUCCCUUGUUUCAUUGCCCUAUAUAUUUUUUACUAAAUCUUUUAUAAAACAAAAUCAGUCUUGGCAUUGUUUUCUAGGGGGAGACAACUUCUCUAGGGGGACAAAACCUCAGUGAUCCCAUGUACUAUAAGAGGGAGAACUAUCCAGGAUUCAUAUUGUAGGAGGAGAUAGUUCAAGGAACUCUAAUUCAUAAUUAAGGGGGAGAACUUUCAAUGAACCCUUACCUACUACGAAGGGGGAGAAAAGUCAAAUUCAAGGAACCCUUAUCAAGAGAGAAGUAUCAAGGAUUCCUUUCUCUCAAUGAGCCCUUACCCUCCGACCUUUUUGGCAAUUAAUGCCAAAGGGGGAGAAAUAUCAAAGCUUCCAAUGAACCUACUUAUAGGGGAGAAAUAUCAUCAAUAAGCUUACUUAAAGAGGGAGAAAUAUCUCUAAGGGAAGAUAUUUGUUCCCAAGGAAAGUCUACCUAAGGGGAGAUCUACCUAUGGGAGAUGUAGCAAACCUCACAUAUUAAGGGGGAGAGAGAUAAAGUUGUUUCAAACAUCUUUACUAUCUCUUGAUUGAACUUGUCUUGCCCUACCUACUCCCAAUACCUAUGUACUAUGAUUUAGGGGGAGAGGUAAUCCUACAUAUUCAUUCUUAGGGGAGAAAUUUCUUAUUUCAUUUGGAGACAUAUCUAUCAUCAAAUUCUAUUUGAAAUAUGUCUUCAAUAUCUUGGUAUUUUUGAAGCUCUUUCAUCUUUACAAUGGAGUACUCUUGUGUUUUCUAACUUUUGUUUUCCCAUUUGUACUCAUACUACUAAGAUGCUCAAUAUCCUCAAGGUAAGUAUAUGCAUCAUAUCCCUGUUCAUGAUGAUGUCUUGUUUACUGCACAUAUUGUUUGCAAGAGGGAGUCUUGAACAUGGAAGCCCUUCAUUCACACAUGUUUGAUGCAUAUAGCCAAGAUCUAUAUGACUUGUCUUGUCCUUCUACCAUGUGUGUGCCCAUGCAUUCCAAAGCGACUACCCUUUAAAAUAAUUGGACACAUUUAGGGGGAGCUUGGACUAGUCAUAUUUCUUUCAAAGCAAUCAUAUACUUAUACUUAUCUUCAUUUGAAGGUUUGAUUGUAUGCUGUCAUCAAUUACCAAAAAUGGGGAGAUUCAAAGCACAUAUGCUCCCUUGGUGAUUUUGAUAAUUCCUGACAACAUACAUUGUCUCCUGGACUAAUACUUUUACCAAGAUAUUUAAGGAAUAGUCCAUGGAGAGCUUUGGCUAAAGGUUUAUGUGGAUAUGCCCCUUGAUGCAAGAAAGGAAUAAUAUUGGCUCAAGCUUCAAGCUAGAAGACUCUUCAUUUUCUAUUUGUGAGAAAUCACUUUUGAAUCCAUAGGAAAGCCAAUACUAUUAGAAGGGGGUGAGGUAGUAAAAUUAACUGAUUGCUCAAGUGCUGUAAGUUAGCCACCAAAAUACUCAGUCAUAUUUCCCACAUAACUAUUCUGUCAAAAUCCACAUACACAAAUUCGGUGUCAUCAACUUUCAUAUUUCGGACCCACCGAGUUUGACCUCAGACAGAAACCCUAGCCACUACCACCAAAUCGGUGCAACCGAAUCCAUAUCGGUGCUACCGAGUUUGGGUGACCAACUUUCGGGUGCCUCGAUACACAAAAUCGAAAUUUACGAGUUUGAGUAUCGGUUCCACCGAGUUUGGCCAUCUGACCAUUAGCCACCUUUUCGGUGCCACCGAGUUUCACAUAUCGGUCAAACCGAGAUUCAAAAGUUCACACUGUUGGAAAUAUGCCCUAGAGACAAUAAUAAACUGGUUAUUAUUAUAUUUCGUUGUUCAUAAUAAUCGUUCAUUAUCCAUGCUAGAAUUAUAUUUAUUGGAAACUCAAAUACAUGUGUGGAUACAUAGACAACACACUGUCCCUAGUGAGCCUCUAGUUGACUAGCUCAUUUAUCAAAGAUGGUCAAGGUUUCGUUUCCAUGGGCAAGUGUUGUCACUUGAUAACGGGAUCACAUCAUUGGGAGAAUGAUGUGAUGGACAAGACCCAAACUAUAAACGUAGCAUAUGAUCGUGUCAGUUUAUUGUUACUGUUUUCUUAAUGUCAAUGUAUCUGUUCCUAUGACCAUGAGAUCUUGCAACUCCCGGACACCGGAGGAAUACUUUGUGGGUCGUAAAACGUCGCAACGUAACUGAGUGACUAUAAAGGUGCUCUACACGUAUCUCCGAAGGUGUCUGUUGGGUUGGCAUGGAUCAAGACUAGGAUUUGUCACUCCGUGUGACGGAGAGGUAUCUCGGGGCCCACUCGGUAAUACAACAUCACAACAAGCCUUGCAAGAAAUGUGUCUAAAGUGUUAGUCACGAGAUCUUGUAUUACAGAACGAGUAAAGAUACUUGCCGGUAACGAGAUUGAACUAGGUGUGGUGAUACCGACGAUCGAAUCUCGGGCAAGUAACAUACCGAAGGACAAAGGGAAUAGUAUACGGGAUUAUAUGAAUCCUUGACACAGAGGUUCAACCGAUAGAGAUCUUCGUAGAAUACGUAGGAACCAAUAUGGACAUCCAGGUCCCGCUGUUGGUUAUUGACCACAGAUUGUCUCAGGUCAUGUCUGCAUAGUUCUCGAACCCGCAGGGUCUGCACACUUAAGGUUCAGUGACGUUUCGGUAUAGUUGAGUUAUAGGUGUUGGUGACUGAAGGUUGUUUGGAGUCCUGGAUGAGAUCACAGACGUCACGAGGGUUCCUGGAAUGGUCCAGAAAUGAAGAUUGAUAUAUAGGAUGGUUUCAUUUGGUUUCCGGAAAGAUUUCGGGCAUUACGGCAGUGUACCAGGAGUGACGGAUGGGUUCCGGGUCUUCACCGGGAGGGGCCCACCCACCCGGGAGUGAGCCCAAUAGUCCAAGGGUGGCGCACCAGCCCUUAAUGGGAUGGUGAGGCCAGUCCAAGUGGGCUAUGGCGCUCGGAAAGAAAAACCCAAAAAAAGAGGGAGGUGGGAAGGAAGAGGAGGACUCCUCCUUUCCCAAACCGAAUUGGAGUUGGAGUCCUCCUCUCCACUCCGGCCGGCGCCCUAGGGGCUCCCUUGAGCCCCAAGGCUAGCCCCUCCCCUCCUCCUAUAUAUACUAGAGGUUAUCGGGUUUUUGAGACACAAUUUGCCACGUGCAACUCAAACCUCUACUUCAUAGUUCUUCCUCUAGAUCGGUUUUCUGCGGAGCUCGGGCGGAGCCGUGCAGGAAUAGAUCAUCACCAUCACCGGCGCGCCAUCACGCUUCCGGAGAACUCAUCUACUUCCCCGUCUCUCUUUCUAGAUCAAGAAGGCGGAGAUCGUCAUUGAGCUGUACGUGUGCGGAACGCGGAGGUGCCGUCUGUUCGGCACUUGAUCGAGACGGAUCAGGAGACACUUCGUGGGACGGAUCGUGGGACGGUUUGAGGGACGGAUCGUGAAGACGUACCACUACAUCAACCACAUUUAUUAAUGUUUCCGCUUAGCGAUCUACAAGGGUAUGUGGAUCUGAUCUCCCUCUCGUAGAUGAACAUCACCAUGAUAUGUCUUCGUGUGCGUAGGAAAUUUUUUGUUUCCCAUGCAACGUUCCCCAACAGUGGCAUCAUGACCUAGGUUCAUCCGUAGAUGUAAUCUCGAGUAGAACACAAAAGUUUUUGUGGGCGUUGAUGUUCGAUUUUGUGCCCUCCUUAGUCUUUUCUCGAUUCGGCGGUAUUGUUGGAUUGAAGCGGCCCAGACCAACCUUACUCGUACGCUUACGAGAGACCGGUUUCAUCGACUAAGAUGCAACUUGUUGCAUAAAGAUGACUGGCGGGUGUCUGUUUCUUCACCUUUAGUUGAAUUGGAUUUGACUGAGGCGGUCCUUGGAGAGAGGUUAAAUAGCAAUUUUCACAUCACAUUUGUGGUUCUGCGUAAGUAAGAUGCGAUCAUACUAGAUACCCAUAGCAGCCACGUAAAACAUGCAACAACAAAUUAGAGGAUGUCUAACUUGUUUUUGCAGGGUAUGCAUGUGAUGUGAUAUGUCCAAAGACAUGAUGUGAUGUAUUGGAUGUAUGAGAUGACCAUGUUGUAAUAGUUAAAUAUUGACUUGCACGUCGAUGCUACGGCAACCGUCAGGAGCCAUAGGGUUGUCUUUAAACUAACGUUUGUGUUUGCAGAUGCGUUUACUAUAUUGCUAGGUUGUAGCUUUAGUAGUAAUAGCAUAGAUAGCACGACAACCUCGAUGGCAGUACGAUGAUGGAGAUCAUGAUGAUGGAGAUCAUGGUGUGGCGCCGGUGACGAUGAAGAUCAUUCCGGUGCUUUGGUGAUGGAGAUCAAGAAGCACAAGUUCAUUGCCAUAUCAUGUCACUUAUGAAUUGCAUGUGAUGUUAAUCCUUUUAGGCACCUUAUCUUGCUUAGAAAGACGGUAGCAUUAUAAGGUGAUCCCUCACUGAAAUUUCAAGAUAAAAUUGUGUUCUCCCCGACUGUGCACCGUUGCGACAGUUCGUCAUUUUGAGACACCACGUGAUGAUCGGGUGUGAUAGACUCAACGUUCACAUACAACGGGUGCAAAACAGUUGCACACGCGGAACACUCGGGUUAAACUUGACGAGCCUAGCAUGUACAGACAUGGCAUCGUAACACAAGAGACCGAAAGGUCAAGCAUGAAUCAUAUAGUUUAUAUGAUCAACAUGGAGAUGUUCACCACUGAAACUAUACUCAACUCACGUGAUGAUCGGAUUUGAGUUAGUGGAUUUGGAUCAUGCGCCACUCAAAUGACUAGAGGGAUGUUUAUUUGAGUGGGAGUUUUUAAGUAAUAUGAUUAAUUGAACUAAUUAUCAUGAACAUAGUCAAAAGGUCUUUGCAAAUUACGUUGUAGCUUGCGAUGUAGCUCUGCUGUGUUUAUAUGUUCCUAGAGAAAAUUUAGUUGAAAGAUGAUAGUAGCAAUUUUGCGGACUGAGUCCAUGAACUUAGGAUUGUCCUCAUUGCUGUGCAGAAGGCUUAUGUCCUUAAUGCACCGCUCGGUGUGCUGCACCUCGAGCGUCGUUUGUGGGUGUUGCGAACAUCUGACAUACACGUUUUUGAUGACUACGUGAUAGUUCAGUGCGUAAUGCUUAACGACUUAGAAUUGAGGCGUCGAAGACGUUUUGAAAACGUCACAGAACAUAUGAGAUGUUCCAAGAGAUGAAAUUGGGAUUUCAUGCUCAUGCCCUUGUUGAGAGGUAUGAGACCUCCGACAUGAUUCUGUGUCUACAAAGUAAAAGGAUAAAAGCUCAAUCGUUGAGCAUGUGCUCAGAUUGUCUCAGUGCAACAAUCGCUUGAAUCAAGUGGGAGUUAAUCUUCUAGAUGAGAUAGUGAUGGUNNNNNNNNNNNNNNNNNNNNNNNNNNNNNNNNNNNNNNNNNNNNNNNNNNNNNNNNNNNNNNNNNNNNNNNNNNNNNNNNNNNNNNNNNNNNNNNNNNNNACUUUCUUAAGAUUGAAGUCUCUUCUACCUCUGAUGGCUUCUUUAUAUCCCAAGGAAAAGUAUAACCAGGUUCUUCUUGCUCGUGCUGCUCUUACUGACGAUCGCAUUGUUGAGACUCCCAUGGAGUUCAAUGUUCACCUCCGAGAUACUGAUGGUGACCCCCUGCCUGAUCCGACGCGUUAUCGUCAUCUUGUUGGCAGUUUUGUCUUAAAGGGUCGAUAUGGUUGACUAGAGGAGAGGGGGGGGGGGUUGAAUAGGCAACUAACAAAUUGUAAGCUUUUCUUUAAACAAUUUAGGUUUAGCACCAAAUAGGUUGUCUAGAUAUGCAACUAGGU
rnacentral:lncRNA from 1 species